GACGAACGCUGGCGGCGUGCUUAACACAUGCAAGUCGAACGGAAAGGCCCUGCUUUUGUGGGGUGCUCGAGUGGCGAACGGGUGAGUAACACGUGAGUAACCUGCCCUUGACUUUGGGAUAACUUCAGGAAACUGGGGCUAAUACCGGAUAGGAGCUCCUGCUGCAUGGUGGGGGUUGGAAAGUUUCGGCGGUUGGGGAUGGACUCGCGGCUUAUCAGCUUGUUGGUGGGGUAGUGGCUUACCAAGGCUUUGACGGGUAGCCGGCCUGAGAGGGUGACCGGCCACAUUGGGACUGAGAUACGGCCCAGACUCCUACGGGAGGCAGCAGUGGGGAAUAUUGCACAAUGGGCGGAAGCCUGAUGCAGCAACGCCGCGUGCGGGAGGACGGCCUUCGGGUGGUAAACCGCUUUCGCCUGUGACGAAGCGUGAGGGACGGUAAUGGGUAAAGAAGCACCGGCUAACUACGU
rnacentral:rRNA from 1 species